CAGUCAGAUUAGCAGAGAGCUGA
rnacentral:piRNA from 1 species